AAAAGUCGUAACAAGGUAACCGUAGGUGAACCUGCGGUUGGAUCAUUAAUAAAUCUAGAAGGUCUUCAAGAUCUCUCUAACAUCUUGUGAAUUGUUUGUGUCUCUGGUGUGUUGAUUGUAUAGGCUCUCGGGCAGAUACCACGCACACCGGGUUAAACUUUGUAUAAAUUAUAGCCUAAAAAAUCUAAAAAGUAAUUAAAACAACUUUUGACAACGGAUCUCUAGGCUCUC
rnacentral:misc_RNA from 1 species